UGGGGAAUAUUGGACAAUGGGCGAAAGCCUGAUCCAGCCAUGCCGCGUGUGUGAAGAAGGUCUUCGGAUUGUAAAGCACUUUAAGUUGGGAGGAAGGGCAUUAACCUAAUACGUUAGUGUUUUGACGUUACCGACAGAAUAAGCACCGGCUAACUCUGUGCCAGCAGCCGCGGUAAUACAGAGGGUGCAAGCGUUAAUCGGAAUUACUGGGCGUAAAGCGCGCGUAGGUGGUUUGUUAAGUUGGAUGUGAAAUCCCCGGGCUCAACCUGGGAACUGCAUUCAAAACUGACUGACUAGAGUAUGGUAGAGGGUGGUGGAAUUUCCUGUGUAGCGGUGAAAUGCGUAGAUAUAGGAAGGAACACCAGUGGCGAAGGCGACCACCUGGACUAAUACUGACACUGAGGUGCGAAAGCGUGGGGAGCAAACA
rnacentral:rRNA from 2 species